UGUUGUAUUUCUAAAACUAAAUGAUUGUCCCUACAAAAGCAUUUUGUAAUUGGAAAAGAUAUGGAUGGAGGCACAAUCUGUACACAUGGGGACUCAUGAAAAAAGGAUAAGCUCUUUCUGGGUCCCAAAGUCCUCAUCUCAUUUCAAGAGAUAGAGAAGGAACUUUCCAUAACCAACAAUUAAUUAUCUCUAAAAUAUAUAAUUCCUGUAGUCCUCCACUAUCUAAGUAUCAUUAAAGCUAUAUAUAAACAACAAUUUCAAUCAUUCAAGGGAAUAAAACAGCAUAAGAGAAACCAGAGCAAAAGAAAAAAGAUCUAGUAAUGAUGUCUUCUGAUUACUCACCUUCUUCAUCUCACCAAGAACAUUUCAUCAACAGCUUCCUCUCAAGAAAAUUGCUUCAGCAACUUCCUUUUCAUCACAACAUACAGCAACAACAACAAGCUCAAGGACAAGACAAGAGCAACUUGAGCGGCAACAUUCUCCUGCUUCUCUCUAUCCUUGUCUGCGGUAUCAUCUGCUCACUAGGGUUGCAUUACAUAAUCCGUUGCGCCUUUAGACGUUCCUCGAGUUUCCUGAUCUCUGAUCCCAUCUCAAUCCCGUCCACACCACGAGGCUCAGCAGCAGCAAACAAAGGCAUCAAGAAGAAAGUUCUCAAGAUGUUCCCGGUAUUGACUUACUCACCUGAGAUGAACUUGUCAGGGGUCGGCGAAGAGUGUGUUAUUUGCUUGUCUGAUUUUGUAGCUGGAGAACAGAUACGGCUACUUCCUAAGUGCAACCAUGGGUUCCACGUUCGUUGUAUCGACAAGUGGCUUACGCAACAGAUGACUUGUCCGAAAUGUAGACACUGUCUGGUUGAUACAUGUCAAAAGAUCUUAGGAGACUGUGACGAAGCUGAUGAAGUUGCAGAAACAACAACGGAGAGUAUAGAUGUUAUAAUUGCUCCUACAGAACCUGAAGAAAGAGUCAACAGCUAGAGAGUAUGUGCCAAUAAACAACUAGAUUUUCAAGAUUUUAGUUCUUCCACAUGAUUGGAACACAGUUUAUGUCCCUAGCCAGUAGGAUUCCAAAAUCAAACACAAUGGAGCUUUUGUUUGUUUUUCUUUUUGCCUCAAUGCUCAAAAUGUACAGAGAAUAUAUCUUAAGCUUUCCAUGGCAUCAUAACUUCAUCAGACUUUUCUGUGUUAUAUGACUAUUUACAAAUAGCAAUACUCACAUCCAAGGCUAAUAAUAUAAACCGUCAUCUCGGAGGAAGUUUGAUAAACACUUUCCAUAGAAUUCCUCUUCAUUUUCAUAUCACAAAACACAGAAGACGACUAAGUAACCACUACUUUUGAAGGUCUGAAAAGAAAUGGUUUCAAUGAAGCUCAGAGAGACCAAGGUAUUGCAUGAAGAAGGCAAAUCAAAGACUACAAUGAUGCCACAUAGAUCUGCUCUAAUCUGUUACAAACUUUUCCACAGUAACAUCAUCUAUAGGUCCAAAACCGACCCAUUGUAAGCAUUGUGGGUAAGAAGUAUAUUAAGGAACUAAUGAUAAGGAAAUCAGCAGCUCUAUGUGUCUGAAAAGUUAUAUGGACUCAAGACAUAAUAAGGUAAAACAAAUACACCCAAGUGAGUGGGUAAUAAAUAGUCAAACAUAAAAGCUACCUUGAGUAAUACUUGUAAUAUAUCAAUCAAGGCACACAUGGUAUGAGACCAUAAUUGAAAGCUCCAAUUAAACAAUGUGCUAGCAGUGUUACAAACUUUAUAAGAUGAACCUAGCAUAAGGAUUAACGAGAAACUGAUAAAUAGUUCACUCAAUGUGUAUAGUGUUCAAUUAAUCUAUCACUAGCCUAAGGAGUGAAACUGUGUAGGGGGCAGAACCAUCUACAAGACACAAAGGAGAUCCAAUGGUAGCUGUGAAAAAGAAAGUUAUAAAUAGUAACAUAGAGCUUUAAGCAAAGCCUCCUAGCUGGACCAAAAACUUCAAUCAUAAGCUUUUCAACUUCUUGGAGUAUAAUUGAUAUUAGAGGUUCAAUACAGAUAAUCCAGAAACAUGUAAAUAAAAAAUGGAAAAACUCUGUCGACAUCCUGAUGCUCUUUCUUUAAUCCAAUUUCACAUCUUGAUGCUCUUUCUUUACUCCACUUUAAUAAUCACGAAGUACAAAGACUAUCAAAUCAAGAAUGUCAACCUACGCAUGCACGAAUAUCACAUGGUACCCCAAGUAACAUAAAGCAAUAAAGGCAAAGUUAAUCACUUUCAAGAAGGGAUAACAAAAUACCACUAUCUGUUCGUACCAGCUACAUGGAACCUCGUAGUGGCAUAAACAAAAGAAGAAGACACAUCAUUUUCAGAUAGCCUUGUAUAGUCUUUAUGUAAUUUUCAGAGUGGGACUGGUGCCAAAGGAUAUAUAUCUCCCCUGCCUUGCAUCAAUUCGGAAUACAUAAAAAUCCACCCCUAAUCAAUGCAUUAUUUGGAUCUAAAUAUAAUUAGUAUAGAUGGAUGUCAUUGCAUAAUUUAGUUGGCAUCAAACAUAAGAUAUACUAAGACGGAAUAGAGAGAGAGAUCAGUGACAUGAGCCAAGACCCAAGAGGUUUAUUAUCUCAGUGCUGUCUCAAAGAUUAGGGAAAGUUCACGGCUGCUCUAGCUAAAGAACAUGUGUCCCCGUGAGCAACUCUUUAGGGAUUUGAUUUUCCAAAUUUACUGCCACAUGGUUUCCAGAGACAAAUUAGAGACUGAACCUAGACAAAUCAAUAAAUGGUAUGAAAGGCCCACGCAUCUUCAAUAAGAAGUCACACUAAGAUUAUAAAAACUCAGUGGAGAAUCCAUAUAAGAUGCGACUAAAACAUAAAAAUAAAACGAAGCACUAAAGGACUUUGUUAAUUUCCCCAGCAUAUUCCAAUAACCAUAAUUCAGAAAAAAAUCAGUUUGCAAUUAUAUAUCAGAAAGUAUAUGAAACCUGUACGUUUUCAUUAUAUAUAGAACCUAGAAAAAACCUAGAAGAUCUAUCUAUUACUUCAACCACCUACCACGUCAACGCCCCCGUUUGUUACCAGUGGCGGAUCUAGAAUAUAUUUUUAUCCUGGACAAAGAUGAAAACUAUUAGCAAAAAUUAAUAUGUGAGCAGAGGCAUGACUAAAUUUUUUAAAGAAAUUAUACUGAAUUUGAAAAUUUCAUCAUGGGCAACUGCCCCUCCCUUACUUCAUAUGGGCUUUGAUGCAAAUGUUGUCAUGGUCCUAUAAGUCCUCUUAUGCGCACUAGUUUGCUCACUUGCACUACAUUCUAUUCUAAGAUGUCUGCUGAAGUAGUUCAAUUUGUUAUCAUUCGAAGCUAGUGAUGAGCUUGCAGUUCGCUUGGCCAAUAGUCAACCACCAUAGAGUCUAAAUUAUAAUGUGAUCUGAGCAUGAAAACCACCAUACAGUCAAAAUCAGACGAUAAAAAAUCAAGUGGUUUUUAAUAUUGAACUAAUCGUAGAAAAAUAUAACGGUAGAUAAAUUCACAACCAUUGUUAGUGUUGACAACCAUUGAAAGAACUAAAACUACUGCUUCAGACCUUGCUCCAGAGGCCCAUGGUUUUCAAAACCUAACUAAACAGAGACAUGGACAUAUAGGAUCGGAAAAAGAAUAUCACAGACACAUAAGCCGACAUCCAUCCCUCCCUUCUUGUGAAGAUCGAGUUGAAACUCUCGAAGAUCAUAUCUUGGGGCCAACAGAUUUCAGUAGUCUUGGACUCUUGUGCGACUGGACCAGUAGUUGCCAGGUCGUUUUGAGCCUAUUAAUAAAGCCCAAUAAAACAAUACUAAUCAUCAUUUAUUGCAGACAAAAAAAAUACUAAUUUGGUUUUAUGGAUUUGUUUCAUAUUUUCUGAAUUGUCAAGUUUUGAUCCCUGAAAUAAUUCACUAAUUUCUCUUCAAAUAAUAAUUCACCAACUUUAAUAAUUGGACGAUGUCAUUCAUUUUUUAAUAGUACAUCAGACCUCAAAACAGAGAAAAAUCAGUUUAUCUAUUUAAUUCUGGCAUCAUCUCUAGUUUGUUUGUUUGUUUGUUUACACCAUAAUUUCUUGUUCAAUUAUUUAUUUAUAUUUUAAUGUUUAUGUUUUGUUAAUAAACUAAUAAUUGUAUAAAUUAGCAAAACAAAUUUUAUAUUACAUUAUUGGACGAUGGAUGCUUCAUGCUCGUAUCCUUUUCUUUCAAAAACUUUAUUCUUAGCACACUUACAAAUUCAGGCUACUGUCUAACAAUGUGAAUAUAAAGUAUAAUAUCAACGAGAACAAUAUAUUGAUAGAGUAAAACUGGAACUUCAUGGUUGAAAAAAAACUUUAUACAAAAAAUCUCUACUAUUUUUGAUGAAGUUGCUAGCUAUGAUCCAUUUGAUUUUUAUUACAUGUAGGGCUUAAAUCAUAUGAAUUUAGAGGUAACAAAUCCAUAAUUUCAAAAAAGCAAAAAAGCUUUAUGGGUGGAUUGUGGUGUGCCACUACUAGUAAAGUUGAGAGGGAGAAAAAGCUAGAUCUCUAGGAUCAAUUAAUUACAUUCUAAAUCCAGGAAAAAUAACCUUAAUUGACUUUUCUCUAACAAAAAGACAUGAACGUGGCCUGCCAUAUAUAUGGAACUUUAUAAUAUAAAACUUGAACAUGGCCUGCCUCAUAUAAUAAAUAGUGAGAAUCAAAUGUAAUCAUACUAGUAGCGAUGAAAAUCAGAAGUAGUUUCGUAAUGAUGGACCCAACGUUUUCGUAGGUGCCAGCUUAACCUUCCCACAUUCUUUUCCCAAUUCGAUUGUACUCGGCACGUGCGAUUCAAGUUGAUCAAAAAGUUGACUUUUAAUUUUCAUCUCUUAACUAAAAAUAAGAGUAUGAAUCAUAGUUGUUCUUAUUUUUUGGGUUGAACAUGAUCAGGUUUGUAGCGUCAUUGCUAAUAUUUUAACUUGCUAUUUCCCAAGAUGAUUUGAUAUUUAUAACUAUCAUAUACUCGGCUUGUAACCUAGCCAACUAGGUGGGGUUCAAUACAUGUACUCGGUUUCUCCUUUCGUAGCCUAACUAGGUGGUCACCAUUCACCACUUUUAUUAAAUCAAAUCCAUAAUUUUGAAGUGCAUGUGCUUAAAUCUAUUCCAGGAUAUGAAAGCUAAGAACGACUGAAAGCCCAUGCACGUUCAUGUAAGAGAGUUUUGAGUUAGAAGUACAUGGCACAAGAAAAUGGCUAGACUCAAUGUAAUGGUGUCUCAACUCAACAUAUACCUAUAUUGUAUAAGUUAUAUACCAAACAUCAUGUUAUACAAAAUAGCAAUAUUAAUCCACAACUACUUUGACGACUUAGUAGCCACUAUUUAAUACAUUAAUCACGAAUACGAUGGAAUAUUAAUAAUAAUCGACAUAACACAUAAUCAUGAAAAUCACAUUCAUUCACGGUCUGAUCUAUUACUUAUUCCUACUUUAAAUGAUUCAACACGAUUCUAAUCCUAAUAGAAAAUGACAUUAAUAAAGUCGAAUUUUGUGAAAAUCUAAAUUGAACAAGCCAACCACGACCAUCGUUGCCUCUAUUGACUCGGUUAAGUUAAUAGUAUUAAAAAAAAUGGAGCUGUCAUUUUACGCUGAGCCGAUCACAGACAAAGCCAUCUCAGCAAAAACAAAUUAGGCUUUAAUUAAUCCAACGGCUGAUAUUAUUAAUUAAUUUAAAAAGGGGGAAUUAAACAGUAAAGGCUGUCUGACAGCCAGGUCACGUUAUCUUUUCCUGUGGUCGAUAUGAUUCGUCUCUGUCGAUUAUUAUUAUUAUUAUUUGAAAGGCGGAAAAGAAAGAUAAAGCCGCCUAUAUAAAUUCAACUCAUUUCUCCUUCUUCGAAUCGUCUCGUCGUCCUCACAGUUUCAUCGGCCGUUGACUAUCUCCGGCGAGAAGAGAGAGAGAGAUCGGAAUCGUAUCGAUUUCUUGUUUCUUCUUCGAAUCUUUCUCGUCCAAGGUAAAGAAAACUUUGUAUGUUUUGGAUCUAUACGUUGUUAUGAGCCUCGUAGAGAUCUGGAAUUGAUUAGAUUUGGAUCUACGAGCUACUAAUUCGGAGAAUCAAGUUCAGUUGACCGAUCAUCGUUAGCUCGAUUAGUGAUCUUGGAUUGGAUCUCAAUAGGGGGAUAGAGAGAUCCGUAUUCAGAUUCACUGUUUUGUGGAAAUGAUUGUUAGAAUAGAGAUCUGAACUGUUAAGGGUUUAGAUGAAGCUUGAGCAGUAGAAUCUAAACAUGAACCGUCACGUUAUGUGUUAUUUUGAAGUUGCAAUAUUAUCUUAUCGAUUUGGGGAUUUUGUAGCCUCUCAUACAUUCAAUAUAGAAAGCUAUUCUCAGAGAUAUAUUUCUAUUUAAUUGAUUUGUAAAUCUUUAACUGAAAUUUACUUAUUUAUAUAUCUGAUAUUUUAGUUAAUGUUAGGAUAUUUUAACUUUUUUUUUUGUAUUUUUAGCAAAUACUUUUCUCCAAAUCUACUUAAAUCAAAUUAAUUAAUUAAUCCACCUGAUUUAAAUUAGGAUUUAUAAAUUAUGAUAUCAAUAGCACUGAAUUUCGUUUGGAUUUAUUUUUAUUUGAUUUGAUCUAAUUUUAUUUAACAGUAUCCAACUCUUUUUAUAUUUUUGCAGCUUAUAAAAAAUGGCUGAGGCUGAUGAUAUUCAACCCAUCGUCUGUGACAAUGGUACCGGAAUGGUCAAGGUUAGUUACUUGUCUCUCUUUACUCUCUUUAUCAGAUCUUUGGAAUGCUCUCUUUUGAUGGCUUCAUGAUCUGUGUGUACAGGCUGGUUUCGCUGGUGAUGAUGCUCCCAGGGCUGUUUUCCCUAGUGUUGUUGGUAGGCCAAGGCAUCAUGGUGUCAUGGUUGGGAUGAACCAGAAGGACGCCUACGUGGGUGACGAAGCACAGUCCAAGAGAGGUAUUCUCACCUUGAAGUACCCUAUCGAGCAUGGUGUUGUGAGCAACUGGGACGACAUGGAGAAGAUCUGGCAUCACACUUUCUACAACGAGCUCCGUAUUGCUCCUGAAGAGCACCCGGUUCUUCUUACCGAGGCUCCUCUUAACCCAAAGGCCAACAGAGAGAAGAUGACCCAGAUCAUGUUCGAGACCUUCAACUCUCCAGCUAUGUAUGUCGCUAUCCAAGCUGUUCUCUCCCUCUACGCCAGUGGUCGUACUACUGGUAUUGUGCUGGAUUCUGGUGAUGGUGUGUCCCACACUGUGCCAAUCUACGAGGGUUUCUCUCUUCCACACGCCAUCCUCCGUCUCGACCUUGCUGGUCGUGACCUCACUGAUUACCUCAUGAAGAUCCUCACCGAGAGAGGUUACAUGUUCACCACGACAGCAGAGCGGGAAAUUGUAAGAGACAUCAAGGAGAAGCUUUCGUUCGUUGCUGUCGACUAUGAGCAGGAGAUGGAGACUUCCAAAUCCAGCUCCUCCAUCGAGAAGAACUACGAGCUACCCGACGGGCAAGUGAUCACCAUCGGUGCCGAGAGAUUCAGGUGCCCAGAGGUCCUGUUCCAGCCUUCGUUCGUGGGAAUGGAAGCUGCUGGAAUCCACGAGACGACUUACAACUCGAUCAUGAAGUGUGACGUGGAUAUCAGGAAGGACUUGUACGGUAACAUUGUGCUCAGUGGUGGAACAACUAUGUUCUCGGGGAUUGCAGACCGUAUGAGCAAAGAGAUCACAGCACUUGCGCCAAGCAGCAUGAAGAUUAAGGUCGUUGCUCCUCCCGAGAGGAAGUACAGUGUCUGGAUCGGUGGUUCCAUUCUUGCUUCCCUCAGCACAUUCCAGCAGGUAGAUUUUUUAGAUUUUUUUUCUCAUUUUUUAAUUUUGUAAAUUUGAUCAAUGGCUGAUUGUUUUAUAUGUUUGUUUGUCAUCAGAUGUGGAUCUCAAAGGCUGAGUAUGAUGAGGCAGGUCCAGGGAUUGUUCACAGGAAAUGUUUCUAAGCUCUUAAGGGAAAGGCUACAAGCUGGGUAUUAUGAAUGGGAUCAAAGUUUCUUUUUUUUUUUGUUUCUAUUUGCUUCUCCAUUUGUUUGUUUCAUUUGCUUUCUUUUUUUGUUAUCGUUUCUAUACACUUGUGUGUGACAAAACUCUCUGGGUUUUACUUUACGUCUGCGUUUCAAGAAACAGCUUUCGUUUUGCGUUUUAGUCCCAUUGUUUUGUAGCUCUGAGUGGUGCCUCUAUUUUUCUGUAAUUUCUUUUUCAAAAACUGGGAAGAAGAAGCUUGAUAUACUCUUUGCAUUUGUUAAUAUACGUAUUGUAUUGAGAUAUGAUUUUAUUGAUUUGCCUUUAAAAGAUCAAAAGGUGGACACUUUUGAAUCUGGGGUUGUUCACAUCAAAUGUCUCACUUGUGGAAUCUGAAGUUAGAAACGAUGAGCAGAUACAUUUUAGCAUUAAUAAUCAGUUAAAUCACAAUCAAAAGUUUUAAUUUUUUCUCCACAAAACAGAAACAUACAGACACAAACACAAAUGUAGCCAACGGUCAGAAUCUGACAUAAAACAAGAGUUGUAAAACAAUGUCACAGGAAACAGAACACAAGAACACAGCGAAGUUGAUUUGUUUUGAAACUAACAGCUAAAUCAAAGCUCUCGGCUAGGAAUUGUUUUGUUGUUUUUGUUAGCUCCUCCACUUCCUCCUCCUGUAUGAAUCUCCUCACUGCUCGAGGAAGACGGGUCAAGCCCGUACUCACUCGUGUUCCCAUACUCACUGGUUGCACCGUACUCAUGGCUAUCCAUCGCCACUUUCCUGAACUUCCUCAUAUCCGCACUGUAAGUGCUCGAGUCAUAGUCCGAGCUCGAACCCCUCCCUAAGCUCUGCCCAGGUUUCACUUCGUUUAGAUCCUCCAGCGAUGCAUCUCCCUCCAGGGCCCGCACAAUCUGUUUAGAAUCAUUGAGCAACUCAUUACAUUUGCUUUGGAGUGGGCCCAUUAGUGAUAUAGUUCAUUUUUAUGUAAAGACUUACUUGGCUCAUCUUAGGCCUGCGUCUAGCUGAGUGUCUGACGGCUGCAGCGGCACAAGCCACCAUUCGUGCCAUCUCAUAAGGCUCGUAUUGGCCCUCGAGCCGUGGAUCAACUAGUUCACUGUAGUCUCCAUCUUGAGCUGCGUUUAAGCAUAAGGGUCUUGCCUGUGUAACAAAGUAACAAAGUUUUUAUUAGAUCAUUCAUUAGGAUACAAAGGUUAUAACAUAUUAUAUGUGGUACUGACCCAGUCGACCAAGCUGUCUUCCAUUUCACCAGUGAGAUCAACAGGUCUGCGUCCGGUUAUGAGCUCAAGAAGCAUCACUCCAAAGGAGAAAACAUCUGAUCUGUCUGUUAGUUUCCCGCUUGACGCAUACUCUGGAGCCAAGUACCUGAUUCAGAAUAGAAGAUUCUUGAUUAGAAAUCAAGAACAGCUUUCAUCAGUUAGUUUCACGUUUCUUUAUUACCCGAAAGUUCCCAUGAUACGAGUGGACACAUGUGUAACGUUGUCCUGAGAUAGCUUCGCUAACCCAAAAUCUGCAACCUAAAGAUUUAAAACACCAGUUAUAAAUAAAGAAUCUGAAGGCAUUGUGAUUUAAAAUUACAAGCAAACGUACCUUGGCUUCAAAGGAUUCAUCAAGAAGAAUGUUUGAAGCUUUGAUGUCUCUAUGAAUGAUUUUUGGAUGACCUGGUUACAAAAGUUUGAUCACAUCUCUAGUUAAACCUCAAUAGGAUCUAAUAAUUUUUUAUUAUUUUUUUUCGUUUUGACUUACAAUCUUCAUGUAAGUAAGCAAGUCCUUUAGCUGAUCCCAAAGCAAUCCUGAGCCUUGUAGGCCAGUCAAGAACAUUACCACUUUUACCAUGUAGAUGAAACUCAAGUGUGUCAUUAGGCAAGAACUCAUAAACCAAUAACAUCUUCUGUCCUUCCGCAAUACAAUAACCAACAAGAGACACAAGAAACCGAUGGUGAACUCGACUAAUGAUGUCCACCUCAGCUUGAAACUCUCGCUCUCCUUGUCCGCUUCCUGCUUUAAGACUCUUCACAGCGAUCUCUUUCCCAUUGGGAAGUAUCCCCUUGUGAACGUACCCGAACCCGCCUUGCCCUAACAGUCUCGCUUGAGAGAAGUUUUGAGUAGCUGCAGCUAGCUCGUCGUAGGUGAAUGUGCUCUGGUUGAAACCUAGAGCCACUGAAGGGUGAGGCGGUGGUAGAGCCGGACCGUAUGGACCUGAGUAGAUUUCGCUGCUGUUUCCGUUGUUUACACCGCCUGAAACUGGCUGUGGUGGUGGUGGCGGCGGUGAAUUCAUCCAGUUAUUGUUGCUGUUUAAUCCAGGGUGUUGAUGAGACAAGUUCAUAACGUGCUCGCUUUGGUUAUUGUAAUGUUGUUGCUGUUGUUGGUAUUGAUCACCUAUAAACAAAGCAGAGACUUUUAAACCUUGUUUCUUGGGUGACAAGUAAUGGAGUUUUCACAAAAUGUAAAAAUAUUUAGAAACAUCUGCUUGGUCAAGAGAUUAUGAAACUCCAAAACUUUUGAAAUGUGGUUUGAAGGUAAGAAGAUUUGAUUGAGUUAGGUUAUUAAUUCAGUUAUCUUGACACACAAGAAAUGGCUCUAAGACAUAAACUAGGUUAGGGUUAGGUUUAAGAUUGAUGACUUGGUGUUUGACCAUUUAUCUUUUACCUUUGCAUGUGGCUAAACCAUUGCUUGCGUAGUAUGGCAUUUGUUUAACCUUGUUUCUUGGAUUACAAGAACAUCUAGUGGGGUUUUCCACAAAUAUACAAAAUAUUCAAAAAUCAAAGGCUUGGUCAAAAGAUUAUGAAACUCCUAAACUUUGAAAUGUGGUUGAAGGUAAGAAGAUUUCAUUGUGUUAUGUUAUUAAUUCAGUUAUCUUGGCACACAAGAAAUGGUUCUAAAAUGGAACCUAGGCUAGGCUUAGGGUUAGGGGUAAGGUUUGUGACUUGGUGUUUGACCAUUUAUGGUUUUUACCUUUGCCUGUGGCGUAACCAUUGCUUGCGUAGUACGGCAUUGGGUUCUUCUUUUUCUUCUUGCGACAGCAACAGACGCAGAACAAGAUCAUAACAAGAAGCAACAACCCAGCACCAGCCGCAAUUCCUAUGAUAGCACCCGUGUUCGGUGCAUCGCCACCACCGCUUGAUCUAGGCGGAGCCAGGGAUCUCGGUGGGGAAGGAGAGUUACGGUCGGAGUUUCUUGAAGGAGGAGCAGGCGAAUGAUUGUUGCUUCCUCCGCUGUUGUUUCCGUUGUUAUUAUUCCCAUUGUUGUUAUUACCAUUGUUGCCAUUAUUGCUGUUAUUUCCAUUGUUUCCAUUAUUGUUGUUAUUACCAUUGUUGUUGUUAUCAUUGUUUCCACCAUUGUUUGUGUUGCCAUUGUUGUUGUUGUCAUUGUUUCCACCAUUGUUGUUAUUACCAUUGUUGUUGUUGUCAUUGUUUCCACCAUUGUUAUUACCAUUGUUGUUGUUAUCAUUGUUUCCACCAUUGUUAUUGUUGUUGUUGUUGUUGUUUUCUUGUUGUGGCGAAGGUGGAGGUUGUGAGUCUGAAGAAGGAGGUGGAGGAGAGGAUGAGGAAUUAUCUGGCGGAGGAGGAGCUGGUGGUGAAGAUGAAGGAGAGGAGGAGGAGGAGGAGGAGUCAGGAGACGGAGGAGAUUGCUGUUGGGUGUUGUCGGGGGAGGAAGGAGAUGGAGGCGUAGGAGACGGCGGUGAAUUCUCCGGGGACUGCCCCUCCGCCAUAAUCUCUUUUGGGUGUUUUUUUUCUUCUUCUUCUUUUAUUUAUUCUCCUGAAGCUCUCUCUUAAGAAAACCUCUUAAGAGAGAUGGGUUCAAAACCUCCUUUCCAAGUUCUAUUUUUAAGAAUGCUGUCAUUUUUUUUGGUUCUGAAUUGCUGAUUUCUUCUUUUGUAGGGGCUAUAUUUGGUUAUUAACACAGCCAUAUGCUUGCUCAGAAAAAAUAAAAAAAUACAGCCAUGCAAAUUAUGCAACCUUCAACUAAAUUUGAAAGAAAAAGAAAAAUUACAGUGAAGAAGUCAUGUGAUUAAACAUAAAAUGAUUGUUUACCAAAGAAGGAACACAUAGAUAAAUCAGUGAAUAACACGUGAAAACACAAGGGAACUUUUUACAAAAAAGGGGAAAAAUAUUAAAAACAGAAGAGACAUAUAUGCUCUCGUUGAGAGUCGAACUCAAGACCUCCCGCUUACUAAACGGGUGCUCUAACCAACUGAGCUACGAGAGCUUUUUGAUGAUAAGAAUCAUACUAUAUAUAACAACACAGAUAUUGAAAAUAAGAGGAACAUAUCUAGGAUAUUCUGUUUUUAUACAAAAUAAUAAAAUAAUAGUUGCCUGAGGAAUUACAAUACAGAUCAGGAACAGCUUCAGGGAGGGCACAAAGCGAAGAAAACACCAGGAGAUCGAUCGUAGAAUCUCUCCGUUGAUCAUUUAAUCUACUUGCGAUACAGAUGCCUUCCCGUAGACGCACUCUCCUCAAAGUCAUCAUCCUCGGCGACAGCGGGUUUAGCUAUCUCCAAAGACACUCUCUUUUUUAAAUAUUUUUAUUUGUUCUAAACUGGUGAUUUCGGAUUCGCGAUUUAAUCAGUAUUAUAUUCCUUUCUUCCGGUUUAGAUAUGAUCGGUUCAUCUCUUAGUUUGGCUGCUGAGUAUGGAGGUUUAGUCUCAAAAUCGUAGACUCUAGCUACUUGACUUUACUUCAACACGAUCUUUUGUCUAUAGAUUGUUUAUCAGUUUACUAUUACGUUUCAUUUUGUCUCAUCAACAUGUAGUUUCCAAACUCUUGUGAUCCCAGGCUUGCUUUGCAUCUGAUUUGACUACAUGAAACUUGGUGUCUUGUUAUGUUUAUUUGAGUGUGAAACCAACUUGGACUCUUUCUGACUUGUGGUAUUUUUCAGGGUGGGGAAAACCUCUUUGAUGAACCAGUAUCCUACUUUUGUCUGAAAUAAAAUAAGAAUUAAGUCAAAUUAGUUUUGCUUUUGUUUUGCGUUAACAUGAUGAUAACUUUUUAGAUAUGUUAAUAAAAAGUUCAGCAACCAGUACAAGGCCACCAUUGGAGCUGACUUCUUGACUAAGGAAGUCCAGUUUGAAGAUCGUCUUUUCACUUUACAGGUUCUUACUAGUCGCUCUCUAUCAGUGAACUACUUCUUUUGUCAACAGAGUGGUGCUGUAUUUAUAUUCAGUAGAGAGUUUAUGACUAUUAGAUGAGAGACUAGCUUAGAAAACGCUAAUUUGACUAAAGAAGGAUAGCUCUAAGUUGUCCCAAGUCUUGUGUCUCACUCCACAGUCGCCAAGCUUUCACAUUUGUUGGAGCUCUACCUUCUUUGCUUGAACAAAGCUCACUUGUUUCUAUCUUUUUUUUUUAUCAAUGUGUGGGUUAUUAUUACAGAUAUGGGAUACAGCUGGACAGGAAAGGUUCCAGAGCCUUGGUGUAGCUUUCUACCGAGGUGCUGAUUGCUGUGUGCUUGUAUAUGAUGUCAACUCCAUGAAAUCAUUUGAAAACCUCAACACCUGGCGAGAAGAGUUUCUCAUCCAGGUUCCAAAACCUCAACCUUGUUCUCACCCCUCAUAAUAGGCAAAGCAUUAACUCAGAGUUUAACUGUCCCUUUACAGGCUAGUCCAUCGGAUCCCGAGAAUUUUCCCUUUGUUCUUAUCGGAAACAAGGUCGACGUGGACGGUGGAAACAGCAGAGUGGUAUGUAUGAUAAGCCUACUUAAUUUUCCAUUGAGAUGUAAUGUAACAUUAACUUCCACACAUUGAUGACACACAGGUUUCAGAGAAGAAGGCUAAAGCUUGGUGUGCUUCAAAGGGAAACAUUCCCUACUUUGAGACCUCUGCUAAGGAAGGCACCAAUGUGGAAGAAGCUUUCCAGUGCAUUGCCAAGAAUGCUCUGAAGACCGGAGAAGAGGAAGAGCUGUAAGUUUUCAAAACAGUUCCAUACAUGUUUCAAAAUCACGAGUUUGGUCUCAGACGUUCUCUCUUUUGUCCUCUUUAGGUACUUGCCAGACACAAUCGACGUUGGGACAAGCAAUCAACCGAGAUCUUCAGGGUGUGAAUGCUAAAAUGGGUUUGUCUCUCUCCGAGAAGAUUGCUUUUGAGUUCAACAAUGUGUUUUGGUGUCUCCUCUCAUUCCCUCUCUUCACCAGCUAUCUGUAAAGUUUAUUACAUGCUGUAAAUUUGUUCUUUUGUGUGAAAAAAAGAACCCUUCAAAUCCAUGGACUACUUGUUCAGUGUUCCUUCUUUUUCAUUAUAUAAAAACUUAUUUUAAAUAUGUGUUUGUUUUAAAAUUAAACUAUUUCACAUUUUCUAAGCAACUUUAUAUUUAUUUGAUAUUUGCAUAAUUAAUUUCAGUUUAUAAUGUUUUUUAUAAUUGUUUGAAUUAUAUCUAAUUUGUGUAUUAAACAAUAUUUUCAAUUCUUUUAUCUAAGAAAAAUUGAUAUCAUAAAACAUGAGUAACUCUUUGUGGUUUAUAAAGAAAACAUAUUAUUUCAUUCAAGUAACAUAUCGGAUCAAAUUUAUACAUCUUUUGUAUGCCAUAUUCCCAUAAAUCCUAUUAAAAAAAGCCUCACUGCUUGUUUAAUCCAAUCUCAACCUCAGGAUUCGAACUGGAGUUCUUGUUGUUACUCUUGGAGUCUCUCCACCUAAACCCACUAAAAAGCUCAUCCAUAUCCUCAAGCAUCCUCCCUUGCGUCUCCGGCAAGAAAGUAUAGAAAAACACCCAAGCCACCGUCGCAAUCCCACCGAACAAAUAAAACGCUCCUCCGGUGGUCAUCCCUUUCGACAUCGGCAAAAACGUCAUCGAGAUCACACCGCUCGUCACCCUGUUCACCACCACACCCAUACUUGACCCCUGCGACCUCAGCCGCAACGGGAAUAUCUCCGAGCUGUAAACCCACGUGAUAGGCCCAGCUCCUAUAGAAAACGUGGCCACGUAAGUCAUCACCGUCGCGAUGCUCAACACCACGGCCCACAUCACUUUCUUAUCCGACUGGUCUAUAACCGUCAGAGAGGUCCCUAAAACCGCUAAAGACAGCACCAUCCCUCCAACACUAGUUAGAAGCAACGGUCGUCUUCCGACACGGUCUAGUAAGAAAGUAGCAACUAAUAUGAACGAUGUUUUUACGAUUCCUACCGCUACGGUCGCGAGAAGCUGCUCGUGAUCCGUUUCGAGCCCCGCGGUUUUGAAGAUCCUCGGCGAGAAGAGAACUACCGCGUCGAUGCCGGAAGCCUGCUGGAAGAAGUGGAUCCCGAUGGCGGCGAUCAUGACGCGGCGCACGGCGGGAGUGGGGCGGAGGAGGAGCUCUUUCCACACUCCUUCCCCGUGGCUGUUCCUCCUCGAGACCUGGACGACGUCGUCGUGGCAGUCGGCGGGGAUCCCGGCGGCUUCUUUGAUGUCUUCGAGGCGGAGGGAAGCUUCGGCGGGGGAAUCGGAGGUUUUGUCGAGGACGCGUUUGGCUUCGCCGAGGCGGCCUUGCAUGACGAGCCACCGCGGCGAUUCGGGCAUGGCGAGGACGCCGAUGGCGAGUACGACGGAAGGUAUGGCUCCGAUGCCGAGCAUGAAUCGCCAGCCGAGCUUGAGAGGGAACUUUGAGAAGGCGAGGUUUGAUACGUAGCCGAGCAUUAUUCCCGCGUUGAUGAAGACCUGUACACGUCAGCAAAACCAUUCCGUCACGUCAGAUAUUAUUGUCUUUUUUAUAAAUUAAUUAAAUUUGUCAUAAUCUCUUUUGAAAACAUGGACCAAACCUACCAAACUAUCUAUAUUUUGGCCUAAACGUUAUAAAGAUGAUGAACGAAAGUCAACGAUUUGUUGAUAAUGAUGUUUGUUUUUAAUAUUUUUUUACAAAAAACUACUUUUGGUCGACUACUGAAAAAUACAUUUGACAUUAUGCUCUGAAUUUUUGUUUACUAGUAAAUUAAAAUGAUUUUUUCUGCUACGUAACGUAAAUUUUAGACCAGAAUUAAAAACUAAAACAUGCACCAAACCUACCAAAAUAACUAUAUUUUGGUUAAAUCGUUAUAUAUGUGUUUAUAUUUUGUUACAAAAACCACUAAAUGUAAAAGAUAUAUACUAAGAUCAAAAAUAUAUUUAACAACUCUUUUCUGAAUUUAUUUACAGGUAUCAUUGUAAAAAUGAUUUUUAUGCUAAAGUAACAUACUUCUAGAAAAAAAAAACAAAAAAAAUAAGGAGUUUUGUUUUUUUUUUUCUAAUUGUUCAUGGCCUAGAAUCAUUUUCAAACAAAAAAAAUAUAGGUCAUUAGAUCCUAUAUAAUAAGGCCAUUUCUAAUUGUUAUCAUAAAAAAUUACAGGAAAUUACUCACUCCAAUGAAUCUGAUUAAUUUUAUUAGGCGUUAGGCUUCCAGAAAAUUAAUCUUCAUUUAGCAACUUGAGAAAUUUUUAAUAUUAAUUUCAUUAUAUAUAUAUAUACAAAAAAAGAGGUGAGGAAGCCCCGAGAAGACGCCGGAGAGACUUCGGCGGUAUAGACAGGUGCGAUCAUGAGGGCGUAACCAACCCCUAUACCAGCGACAAACCUCCCGAACAUGAGAAAAGCGUAGUUUGGGGCGAACCCCAUGAGGAGUGCUCCGGCGAAGAAUAUAGCUCCGGCCAACACGAUUGUGUAACGCCGACCAAUCCAGUCAGAUGUUCUACCAGCGGCGCAAGAUCCAAGGAGUGAAUAAAUGUUAAGGAUUCCGGCGAGAAUACCGAUUUGAAGAUCACUAAUCUUCAAAUCUCUCUUGAUAUAAAUCAUUGCUCCACUCAUGACUCCAAUAUCUAUAAAUUACAAAAAAGAAAAUAUGAUUAUCAACUGCACAAACGAGAUGAUACGACAUGAUUACACAUCUAGACAAAAGUGAUGUUUGUAACUAUACGAAUCAGAUGUCAACAUCCAUACACCAUUUAUGUUGCCAACAACAUUGACAUCAUUUUGAUUAGUUAAGAAUGUGUGUCAGAACAUAAAGGAUGUAGUGUUUGUAUGAUUAGCAUUGGAUUUUUCAGUUUUUUUUUUGCGUUGACCGGGAAAAGAGGCUAAACAGAAAACUAACCAUAACCAAGGAGGAUGGAAGUCAUGGAAGCUAAGAUUGCACACGCGAAUGCGUACUUGUUCCUCUUUGGUUUAGCCUGCGGACCUAACUCCGGUACAUGUUUUGUUGCCGGUGCUGGCGAAGGGACUGCUUGGUUUUCCGGCGUGAAACCUGUCAUUUAGAAUGUGGAGGGUGAGAGAGACAGUUGUGGGGACUGAGUAUACUAACAACUUGUGGCAAGAGCUAUGUCUUAAAUAGACGUUUUGUAUUAAGACGAGUCUCUUGGAAAGGGCAAAAUUGUCCGAUACAAUGGGAACACUGCCUGCCCAAAGUUACAUGCAUCACAUUGGCAUCUUUCGUUAGAGACAAAACAUAAAUAUCAAUAGAGGGGAACGGCAACUAAUGAUACAUCAGUUUCCUUUUAAUAUUAAUAGAAAAUGCAAAAGAAAAUAGUUUGAAAGUUGAAAUAAGUAAUGGGAUGGGCUGGAAAAUUUUUUAAUCUGGCCCAACAGCAAAGAGACGGAGACAGCAAUUUCGUGAGCGAAACCGGUUAACGGGCUGGGCUGCAAUUACGAUUUGUUGGUCUGGGUUACCAGUGACGUGGCAGAAUGAAUGGCUGAGAAUAUUUUGCCUAUGUGGCAUCCUUUAUAACAUCUAAAAUUAGUAGCUUUUAUAUAGUGGCUGUGUAGUGGUUAUAUAAAUCACUUCCUUGGAUGAGGCAAAUGCGGCCAACAACAUCUGUAGGAAUAAUUUGGUUGUUUGGAAAAAAAUUAGGAUUUAUUUUUGUGUGAGAGAGUUUUUGUUUUUUUUUUACCUGGUAGGAAGUUGGUUUCACUUGCUAAGCUGAUCAACUGGGUGUAGCGUUGUGGCCGGAAUAUGUAUGAAGGAAUCGGUGCAAUGUUUUCUUGAAUCAGUGUAAUAGUUGUUGUUUCUUUGAUAUUGAUUAUGUAUGGUUGAUCGGUAAGCCUGUAACGUUGGUUAUUGGGGAGGAGAUUAAAAUAUCUAAUGUGAUAAAUUUUCCCUUCUUCGAAGCGUUGGUACAUUGUGUCAGACGUAGAAAUAGGUACCUUCCCCUCCAUUUUUUGUUCCUGUUUAGUGGUUAGAAGCAAUCAUUUGAAAUAUAGUUGGAAUAAUUAAAAAUAUGAAUUUUAGACAAACCUGGAUGUCAAGACAUAUGAAAGUUGUCCCUAGGAAAGCAUCUUUAUUUUUGUGAUUUGUGAUGGGCCAGACCCUAAGGAUCCUAACGAUUAUUGGAUGAGGUUCGAGAGUGUUGUCCUAAUUGCUUUGAUCUUGUGGUGCAUGUGCUACAUAGAUAAGAAUGAGAAUUAGUAUUUUUUUGGCAAUUUUGUUUAAAUUUUUUUUUUUGAAGUGAACAUAGUUAGGGUGUGUUUUUUUUAAGUAUUGUCAUGGUUUUUUUUAAAGUUUAAGUAGGCCGGGCCAUAAUUAUAGGUGGUAGUAGUAAAUUUGUUGGGUGGGUUUGAUAGUAGAAUUUAGUUUUUUAUAGAAAUUUACAGGGACUGUGUGUGAAAUGAGGGGGUUUUGUUAUCUUGGGCGUACUAUUUUAAGAUCAAAGGGAACUUAGGCGGUUUGCACAUUGUUAUAGAAAACAGUUGAAAUAAAAAAUUGUCUGAAAUAAUAGAAAAUGCAAAAGAAAAUAGUUUGACAGUUGAAAUAAGUAAUGGGAUGGGCUGGAAAAUUUUUUAAUCUGGCCCAACAGCAAAGAGACGGAGACAGCAAUUUCGUGAGCGAAACCGGUUAACGGGCUGGGCUGCAAUUACGAUUUGUUGGUCUGGGUUAUCAGUGACGUGGCAGAAUGAAUGGCUGAGAAUAUUUUGCCUAUGUGGCAUCCUUUAUAACAUCCAAAAUUAGUAGCUUUUAUAUAGUGGGAUUAUUCAGUACAAUUUUAUAUUGACCUUGUUUGGAUUUACUCUACCAACAAUGACGACCACAUUGAAACGUAUCGGAGGGCAUAAAGGUAAUCUCGUAAAAGGAUACUUGUUGUCCAUGUGAGCUUGUUGAUCUUGAGGAUUGAACUAUUGAACACAUAAAAGACGGUUCAAAUAGUGUUAUUUAUUUCAAUUUAAAACCCUUUCCCCUCUGUAACCUACUGGUCUAAAUAAAUAAAUGAAAAACAACCAGCGGGCAGCUAAUAUAUUUAUGCGAUAUGGGGUAAGAUAAGAUACACCAAUAGCCGCAGUUUACACAGUUUACAGAUUCGGAUCGAUGGCACUGGAUAUAAUCUCUAGCCAAGAAAUCUGUAUUAGCUUCCUAUUUUCCUUUAUAUAUAAUCGUAGUGCUUAUUUUGCUUUUAGAUCGAUGUUUUCUGUGUAUGUUGAUUUUGUUUGUAGAUUGAUGUUUUCUGUCUGUGUAACCUAGAGAUUGAUGUUUAUUCCGGUGAACCGGAUUUGUACUGUUCAGAUCCCCAUUUAUGAGUUGAUUCAAUUUAAUAGAAAUUAUUUUUAAAAAUCGUAGUGUUUAUUCUGCGUAUGGCGUACCUUGCUUUGAGGUUGAGACAGGGCUUAUCCAACAAUGAGACUAAUGAGAGUACUUCCACUUUCGUUUAUGAGGGCGAAAGGACACUCAUAUACGCAUGUAAAUUACUUUUUAUCUAAAACAAAGAUAAAAGUGUAACGCAUGUUCUUUUGCUAAACUGAAAAUAUCAAAUUAAUGAUUGAAGGUGUUACAAGAGCAAGACCUUCGUUUUAUGUAACGCAUGUUCUCUUGUUCGAAUCCUUUUGAAGCUUUCUGGGAUGACUAUUCACGUACGUGUGCAUGUUUUUCACGUAUAAAACCAAAAAAAAAACCUACGUAACGAAAUAUUUAUGCGUAAUUUGGAAUUCUAACUAAAGUAAGUUGAUUAAUUAAAAAAAAAGUUGAUUAGUUAAUGACUUUUAUGCAUAAUAUGGGAUUCUGAUAAAAUUUAUGUGUUUUAUUAUUAUAUAUUUGAUUAAAAUGUGUUCAUUGUUGAAGUGUAGUAUUAAGUAUUAUUCUCUUUGUUUCUCAAAUAGUGUCACCUUAGCAUUUUUUUUUUGUAAUACAAACAAUGAUUUUUUAGAAUUUCAAUGCAUUUUAUAUUUACUUUCAACUGGAUAUUAAUUGUAAAAUGUAUUGAUUUAAUAAUAAAUUUAUUUAUCUUAAAUAAUAUUGGUUAAACAUAUAUAAUUUAUCUCUUAAAUAAAAAUAAAUACCUUUUAAUCAUUAUUUUAAUAUCUGUGAAAAAUUACAAAAAAUGCGUAAGUGGCACUUUUUAAUGAAGCGGAAGGAUUAUAAACUAAGCUAAGGUUCGUCAAAGAAAAAAUAACAAUGUUCCUUAGAGAAGCCGGGUCAACACACACAACAGUCCAAGACCACAUGUCUUGAUUCUUCAAGAUGAUAAGAGGUAAAUUAAUCACUAACAACAAUACUAGAAGAUUCCUGCAAUUUUUUGUGUUAUUGUAUUCAUAUAUGAUAUUUAUGGAUAUACUUGCAAGAAACCAUUAAUCGAGAAGUCGUUGGCUUACGAUAGCAAUCGCUGUUAUGAAGACUAUAUGAAUUUUCAAAACAUAUCUUGCUUGUACUUGUAGACUCUUUUAGUCAAAUUACAGCAACAAAAAUCAAGUACUAUCAAAUAUAUGUCAUCUCCUUGAUCUGUCAGACACCCGUUUAAUAUAUUUCUAGAUUUUCAGCCUCCAGGAGCGUUUUGGUUGUGGUUAAUUAAAGAUCUCUUAAUUAAACCCGUUGAUCUUUGUCAUAUGAAAAUCCGUCUCUAGCCUUUCCAUGGUACUAAAAGUAUGGUUCAGUAGCUCCCACAAAAAUAAUAAAUUCUUGCUGUAUACUUUAGGUGUAAGAUAUAUCGCACACAUACAUUACUCGUGGCAAUAUUAAUUCUUAUGGACUGUCGAGAUGUUUUGUUAAAGAAGAUGGGUGAAAAUAAAAUAAUUGCAUUUACAGACUUAAGAUGCCAAACAUCGGGUUUUUAACUUUCUAUACUAUAUUUAGCUAAAAGCUUUCUCUUGUCCACAUUGCUACUGUUAUUCUUCUUUUUAACAAAGGGUUUACAACUAUUUCUUUUUUUUCUGUACUAAUUGUUUCUCAUUGUGAUACUUAUAACAUGUAUAUGUAUCAUAUCCUUAGAUAAAGAAAUAUGGGAAACAUCUUUAUAUAACAAUAUGAAAUUAUGAACAUACAUCUUUUAUUUAACGAAAAAACAACGUAUGUUUUCAAUAUUAUACCUUAUUUUAGUGUCUGUGUGUUUUGCCAAAAAGACUAAUUAAUAGUCGAUGAUAUUACCUCAACAUAUCAAUGUUAGAAAAAGGACCAAUAAUUGAAGCAGCAAAUGGUGAAGUGGGCCAAGUUUUAGCAGUAAAGGCAGCCAUCAUAUGUGACCAUAACAUUACGCAGCUCGGCAAUUUGGACUCUCAUAUGAUAUGAUUUGACUUCCACUUUCUCAUUUCCUAGGUGAUUUUACACACAUUUAUGUUCGUGCAAUCAGAAAUGUUUUUUUUUUUGAACAUUACAAUCAGAAAUGUUAACUAUUUGAACUCUCGAGAGCCUAUAUUCAUACUCGUAAACAAACUUUUUAGAAUAGCUAUUUCCAAAAGAAUCUUAAAAGGCGAAGUAGGGAAGAUAAAUACUUUUGUGUGUGCAACUUAUAAUUAAUGCAUCACAAAGACAUCAUAUAUCUUAUGAUCUUAUCUAUCAUUAAAUGCCUGUUGUAAACUAAUAAAAUAAUGUGUCCUUAUUAGAAAUUCGUUGACUUUUAAGUUGACACCCAAGAGUAGUAUAGACAUAUCUAUGCAGUUGAAUUGGACCAUGACGCAAUAAGACAAUAUUUAUUUGUUUAUAAACUAGGCUAGAAAUUACUUUCUUUUUGUCAAGAAAUAAUCAACUACUUAGCGAAGAUACUAUUACAUGUCCAGCGUAUAACAGGGAAUAUCUACAUAUAUAUAUAUGAAAGAAGAGAUUAAAAUGAGCUGCAAUAAAAGGAGCUAAGCAGUGGUCACGAUCUCUUAUUCUCAUUUAGAUUUAUGUUAAUAUUAGUUACUGAUCAAUUGAGUGUAGACUUCUGUAGGUAUGGUUUUCAAGCCUCGUGCGGAGUGUCCACAAUCUUCUACAAAAGUCCACCGAGCGCUUUUGAAUUUCUUUGCUUCUUUUUAUUUAUUUGAAAAGUAUGUAUAUUUAUUACAUUUUGAAUAUACCAAAUCUCUUUUGUCCAACAAAAAAAUAUACCAUAUCUCUUAUGAUGAUGAGACAACAAAAUAUAAUUGUUAGAUAAAGGAACGCCAAUUCUGUAUUAACCAUAUCAGAAAGUAUAUGCUUGCUGAAUAUAUAUAGAGAAGCAAAACAGCCAGUAAUACAUAUAUUAAUUAUAUUAAUUGUGUAUUCAGAUUGAAAGAUAUGAGCUAUAUAAAUUAUAUGAAUUCCCCAGCUGUAUCUAUACGUGAAUGCAAUUUUCUGACAGCUUAGAUGAUCUGAAACCAGCAAUAAUAUAAUUCAAAUAGUAACAAGUUAACAACGCAUAAUAUCUUACAAAUUUGCAAUUAAGUUGUUUCAUUAUGGUUAUGGUAGUCAAGAUCUCAAGAAAUUAUAUACUCGUUCUUUUUCUUUUCUUUUUGUCGUCAAGAAAGUAUAUAUACUCGUAAAUUAGGGAAAACGACCUAUUUCCACACCAGAAGUUUCAUAUAGUAACAGUUCCACACGAUCUUUCAACCUCGUUUUAAUUGCACAUAUAUAGAAGCUGUACAACCUAUUUCUCCACAAUGUCAAAGUUCAAAAUCCGAACCCACAUGAACGUACAAUUAGCUGAUUAAAAUCGGUUUACUGGUUUUUGAGUUUAAGCCUAACCAAUAGAAAACCUAAUUAAACCUAAGAAAACCCGUUUACGACCCUAUUUGUUUAUUAUAAACCGUAAUUUAACUAACCCAGUUUUUAUUAACCAGAAAAAAUCCAAUUCUGUUCAUCUCUCUCAAGUGAACCCUAGGCAAGACUGAAGCUUUGAAUCAAUUUCGUGGACUGUUCUUUCUGCCUGAUCGGUUAUGUCAGGUGAGUUUGUCGUCUCAUCUUCUUCCUUUUCGAGUUUCCAUUAUAAUUACUCUCUGUUUUGAACUGAAUCAAUUUUGCUUACUCUUUGUUUCACCAGCUGAAGGAGAGAGCUUAUGGGUUCAUUUUUAGGGUUCGUAUAAUUGGGGGAUUUUAAAAUUGGAUUCCAACCGGAUUAAAAUAGGAUCUCUGGUCGGGUUAUUUUAUGUCUUUCGGUUUGGUUACUUCUUAUGAACCACUAAAUUGAUGAAUAACCGAAGCCAUGUGGGUUCGGGUUUUGAACUUUGACAUUGUGGAGAAAUAGGUUGUACAACUUCUAUAUAUGUGCAAUUAAGACGAGGUUAAAAAAUCGUGUGGAACUGUUACUAUAUGAAACUUCUGGUGUGGAAAUACGUCGUUUUCCCCGUAAAUUAUGGUAUACUUUUAUAUUUUGUAUAUUUUGACUUGAAAUAAUAAAAGGAGAAACUGUUAGACGUUUAAUAAAGCAAAUGGUGUCACGUCGACAUCGACAACUAAUCACAACAUUCAGACGAUUCGUUGGGCCACGACAUAAAUCAAAACAAAAUAAAUGUUACAAUCACUUUGAACAUAGACUCAUAGUGUAACUCUUUGUGAUUUAUAUCGACUUCAAAUAUAAUCAAUAGUGUAAUUGUGUAAGACACCACAGAGACUUUUUUCCGCCGUUUUUGUUCUGUUUCAUAUAAUAUUUUUUUGUACGAAGAGUUUAAUGGUUUCUAUUGGACGAAGAGUCGCUAUGUUAGUCUAAGGUAGAUAACUAGAUAUCAAUUUAUUUUCAAUGUAAAAUCACUAAUUCCAUGUAUGGUUAGUUGACGUAGAUCUCUAACUCCUACAUAAAAUAACCAUAUUUGCAUGACUAGUCGAGCCAAAACACUUCUCUUGUUUAAAAGAAAAUCUAUACUGAUUUUACAUAUAAAUUAUAAAUAUAUGAAGAUCUAAAUGCAACGAGAACAUAUAUUUGUAUACGAACUAUUUUUCUUUAAAAGUUAUAUAUGCGAAGUUCCUUUUGUCCAAAUCAAUAUUAUCAUUACAUAAGCAGGCAUUUGCAAUGUGAUGUACGUGGAAAGUUACUAAACUAGAUAUGGUUAGAUUCGUGGACCGGUUAAAGUUAGUUGUGGUUUUGUUUAAUAUAUGUGUAGAAAAGCACAUUUAAGGUUGUUAUAUAUACCUAGUUACAAAAAAAGGGGUUAUUAAUAUACCUUUUCUGGCGAGAUUCGACAUGACCCCAAUCAGGUAAUCAUGUGUAUGCAUUCGAUGCUCAUCAUUGUGAACAAUUGUAAUCUAAGUGGCUACAUAUCAUUUAUAAUUUGAUGAUCCAUAUUGUCUAUAAACUGUUACCGAUUAAAGUGGCAGCCGAUAGGUUUCAGGACUAUUGUACACUGCUUACCAAAAUAUGUUUCACUUGAACAAGUAAUCUGAGAUAUACACAGGCCCUGUUCGUUUGUACAUCUGGAAGAUGCAUCCAGAUGGUCCAUCUAGAUGUCUUAUCCAGAUGCUCCAUCUGGGUGUUGUUCGUUUCUUCAUUUCAUUCAUGCAUCCAAAUGAAUCAUCUGAAUGCAACUAUGUUCGUUUGCUUGUCAUUUUUUAACUUUCAUCUGCAUCUAGGUGGACUUGUUAAUAAAAUG
rnacentral:lncRNA from 1 species